GACGAACGCUGGCGGCGUGCUUAACACAUGCAAGUCGAACGGAAAGGCCCUGCUUUUGUGGGGUGCUCGAGUGGCGAACGGGUGAGUAACACGUGAGUAACCUGCCCUUGACUUUGGGAUAACUUCAGGAAACUGGGGCUAAUACCGGAUAGGAGCUCCUGCUGCAUGGUGGGGGUUGGAAAGUUUCGGCGGUUGGGGAUGGACUCGCGGCUUAUCAGCUCGUUGGUGGGGUAGUGGCUUACCAAGGCUUUGACGGGUAGCCGGCCUGAGAGGGUGACCGGCCACAUUGGGACUGAGAUACGGCCCAGACUCCUACGGGAGGCAGCAGUGGGAAAUAUUGCACAAUGGGCGGAAGCCUGAUGCAGCAACGCCGCGUGCGGGAUGACGGCCUUCGGGUUGGAAACCGCUUUCGCCUGUGACGAAGCGUGAGUGACGGUAAUGGGUAAAGAAGCACCGGCUAACUACGUG
rnacentral:rRNA from 1 species